CCUACGGGUGGCAGCAGUGAGGAAUAUUGGUCAAUGGUCGGGAGACUGAACCAGCCAAGCCGCGUGAGGGAGGAAGGUACAGAGUAUCGUAAACCUCUUUUGUCAGGGAACAAAGACUGGGACGCGUGGCCGUAUGAGUGUACCCGAAGAAAAAGCAUCGGCUAACUCCGUGCCAGCAGCCGCGGUAAUACGGAGGAUGCGAGCGUUAUCCGGAUUUAUUGGGUUUAAAGGGUGCGCAGGCGGACUGUUAAGUCAGCGGUCAAAGCCCGGGGCUCAACCCCGUCCAGCCGUUGAAACUGGCAGUCUCGAGUUGGAGAGAAGUAUGCGGAAUGCGCGGUGUAGCGGUGAAAUGCAUAGAUAUCGCGCAGAACUCCGAUUGCGAAGGCAGCAUGCCGGCUCCAAACUGACGCUCAGGCACGAAAGCGUGGGUAUCGAACAGGAUUAGAUACCCGAGUAGUC
rnacentral:rRNA from 1 species